rnacentral:rRNA from 1 species
AUUGAACGCUGGCGGCAUGCUUUACACAUGCAAGUCGAACGGCAGCGCGGGCUUCGGCCUGGCGGCGAGUGGCGAACGGGUGAGUAAUACAUCGGAACGUGCCCAGCAGUGGGGGAUAGCUCGGCGAAAGCCGGAUUAAUACCGCAUACGACCUGAGGUUGAAAGCGGGGGAUCUUCGGACCUCGCGCUAUUGGAGCGGCCGAUGGCAGAUUAGCUAGUUGGAGGGGUAAAGGCCUACCAAGGCGACGAUCUGUAGCUGGUCUGAGAGGACGACCAGCCACACUGGGACUGAGACACGGCCCAGACUCCUACGGGAGGCAGCAGUGGGGAAUUUUGGACAAUGGGCGAAAGCCUGAUCCAGCAAUGCCGCGUGUGUGAUGAAGGCCUUCGGGUUGUAAAGCACUUUUGGCGGGAACGAAAAGGACUGUGCCAAUACCACGGUUCGAUGACGGUACCCGCAGAAUAAGCACCGGCUAACUACGUG